rnacentral:lncRNA from 1 species
GCUGAGCGAGAGCCGUGUUCAAACCGAUGGGGUUUGGCUCGUGGAAAAGCCAGUCGAUCAAAGGCAAGAGCUUAGAAUUCAGUGCAGGAUUGUUUCCAGCGAACAUGAGUUCUCGUAUUAAACCAGGAACCAGGUUGCUUACAACAGAUAUUACUCCAGUAGCCCCAUAACCCCAUCUAGCAUCAUGACAUUGAUCAUCAUUCCCACUCCACACAACAAUCCCAUUAUCUGUGUACUGCUUGAUCCGGUCGUUUCCAACACAUUCCUUGACACCAGCCAAGCUAACACUUUUAGCUAAGGUUUGAAUUAUAUGUGGAGGAAUGUCUUGACCAGUUCGCGAUGGCACAUUAUAUAUAAUAGUGGGGCCCAUGGAAAGCACACUGUCAAAGUGAGAAAUCAAACCAUUCAAGGAAGUUUUACCGUAGUAAGGGUUUAUAUGAAGUGCAGCAUGCAUUCCUACAGCAAAACCUUGCUCAGUGGCAUGAAUUGCUUCCCUGGUCGAGUUGCUUCCGGUGUUUCCAAUAACCUUAAUUUUCCCACCAAAACAGUUGACUGUGUGCCCGAUAAGCAUUAUGUGUUCAUCCCAGCUCAUCAACUGACCUUCACCGGUUGUGCCACCAACAAUAACACCUUCAGCUCCGUUUUCAAUCUGCGUAUUCAUCAAAUCGUCAUAUGCUUCAAGAUCAAAUCGGCCAUCAGGAAGGUAUGGAGUUUUAAUGGCAGUUAUCAAUCUCAGACUCUUUAUGUCCUCUGUAGAAGUCCUGUAUAUGAAGUACAUAUAAAACUUAAUUAUCAUGAACAGGUACCUAUAAAGCUUCAUUUGUGCAGACUCUUCAGUUGUUUGCAAACAGAAUUUCGAAAGGUUGGUUAGCAAGUUCAGAUUUGUAAACAAAACCAGCUAAACAAAUAGGCAGGCAUGAAGCCGGGAACACACAUCAAAGUUUUUUUAACACGCUCCUUAAAGUAUGUAUGUAUGUAUGUAUGUAUAAAAUUGCACAAUUUUCUAUUAUAAAAUGUAAAUCAAUAUAAAACUGCUUUGCUGAUAAAAUAUACAUCUGGAUGACAUACAAACUUUUAAUGUCCAAACUGAAUCAUGAAGUGGAUGAUAAAUGAAAAACAAGUGCAUAUUAAGUUCAGAGUGUAAAUUAGUAAGAGAACAUUGCUUAAAGUUAAAGCACAAAAUGCUUGCUGCAAAAUCAGGAUAGAAAACAUUAUCUGCAUCUGUUCCAGAAAUUCUAUCCAGAGCAUACAUUGUAUAGUUCCCACCUAAUCUACAAAAUACACAAAUAAUCAUCUGGGACAUGAAGGGAUGUAAACAGAUGGAAAAUAAAGAAUAUAAUAGUAGAACUAAUCAGUAUGAAACAGCACAUCCAUUACUCAAACAAUCAAACUCACCUAUUUUUCACCUCGGAGCUGCGCAUUGGGAGGUGGAAACUAGGUACAAUGGCUGCUUGUGUAGGCUUCGGCUUCCGGUAUGAGCUCCUGAUUCAUAAAGACAAAUCUUAACAUAAAUAAACCAAAACUUGGAUUGAUGGCAUGCAAUUGGUGUUUUUCUACACCAGUGAGCACCAACCAUAGGAGGGUUCUAAAAAGAGCAAAGUCACCACAGACUUUAAUAAACAUCAUAAUCUGGUUUUUUAAGUAUGGCAAAACCCAUGAAAGAUAAGAUUAGUGUAGAAGGUAACCUAAAUUAAUAUCGACGAACCAUGAUAAAGUCAUUGUCAUCAAGAACCUCGACAUCUUUUUCUCCAACAAAAUGCUUGCGUCCAAUAUUCUUCACCAAGUUGACAAACUCUAUCCUUUUCUCCACACGGAGGGGUACAUAUGGUAGCCUGAACACUGGCCUAACAACCCCAAGCUGAGCGAGAGCCGUGUUCAAACCGAUGGGGUUUGGCUCGUGGAAAAGCCAGUCGAUCAAAGGCAAGAGCUUAGAAUUCAGUGCAGGAUUGUUUCCAGCGAACAUGAGUUCUCGUAUUAAACCAGGAACCAGGUUGCUUACAACAGAUAUUACUCCAGUAGCCCCAUAACCCCAUCUAGCAUCAUGACAUUGAUCAUCAUUCCCACUCCACACAACAAUCCCAUUAUCUG